GUCGUAAAGCUCUGUUGUUAGGGACGAAGGGCGAAGGGUUAAUAGCCCUUAGCCUGACGGUACCUUUCGAGGAAGCCCCGGCUAACUACGUGCCAGCAGCCGCGGUAAUACGUAGGGGGCGAGCGUUGUCCGGAAUUAUUGGGCGUAAAGAGCGUGUAGGCGGCUUGGUAAGUCUGCUGUGAAACCUUGGGGCUCAACCCCAAGCGUGCAGUGGAUACUGUCAAGCUAGAGGAUGGUAGAGGCCAGUGGAAUUCCCGGUGUAGCGGUGAAAUGCGCAGAUAUCGGGAGGAACACCAGUAGCGAAGGCGGCUGGCUGGGCCAUUCCUGACGCUGAGACGCGAAAGCUAGGGGAGCGAACAGGAUUAGAUACCCUGGUAGUCCUAGCCGUAAACGAUGAACACUAGGUGUGGGGGGAGUCGAAUCCCUCCGUGCCGAAGCCAACGCGUUAAGUGUUCCGCCUGGGGAGUACGGCCGCAAGGCUAAAACUCAAAUGAAUUGACGGGG
rnacentral:rRNA from 1 species